AGUGAACGCUGGCGGCGUGCUUAACACAUGCAAGUCGAACGAGAAACGGAUUUAGCUUGCUAAAUUGCAGUCUAAGUGGCGCACGGGUGAGUAAUGUAUAGAUAAUAUGCCUUUUACUAAGGGAUAACAGUUGGAAACGGCUGCUAAUACCUUAUAUGCCUUUAAUACAUAAGUAUGCAAGGGAAAGAUUUAUUGGUAAGGGAUUAGUCUGUAUUGUAUCCGUUAGGUGGUGAGGUAAUGGCUCACCAAGACUAUGACGCAUAACUGGUUUGAGAGGAUGCUCAGUCACACUGGAACUGAGACACGGUCCAGACUCCUACGGGAGGCAGCAGUGGGGAAUAUUGCACAAUGGGGGAAACCCUGAUGCAGCAACGCCGCGUGGAGGAUGACACAUUUCGGUGCGUAAACUCCUUUUAUAUAGGAAGAUAAUGACGGUACUAUAUGAAUAAGCACCGGCUAACUCCGUGCCAGCCGCCGCCGUAA
rnacentral:rRNA from 1 species